CCUGCCCCAUCUCGUGUUGCAGGCGUGGCUGCAGUGCCACGUCUGUGUCAACCGGUGGCAGAGAGGAACAGGAGACUCCUUCCCUGGUGCUCUGACCCCCGUGAGCUCCCAGGAUUGCUCAACAACCUGACAUU